UUUUGUUUUUUUUUUUUUUUUACAUCUCAGAUCAUUACCAAAACGUCCUAGUAUUUUACAACGAAGCUCUGACAUUGGAAAUUUUUUCCAGAUUCUAUUAUCAGCCACGGACCACGGAAUGACCUACUCCGUACCCUACUUCCUAAUGCAGACUAUAUAUGUUCUGGGUUUGUACGCUGAUUAUAUUCAAUAUCUAGCAGUUCUGGUGAGCAUUAUUGUUUAGACAAUCUCUUGUUAUGUAAAAAUUUAAAGAGAUAGAUAUGACCAAGAAAAUAUCUGAAUAGUAACAUCCUACACAAUCUAAGAUUGGCUACUAAGAUCGGGAAAUUAAAAAGACCAGCGUACUUCAUAAAACUGAAAUGCAAUUGCGCAUUUUCAAUGGCUCUUGAUGACACUUAACUUACUUCAUAUAUCCUCGUGCUGCCAGCCUAAACAUGACUUGUGAGAUCAGCGCUUACUUACCUUUUUUCUACCUCGCUCCAUCUUUUCCUUCUUACCUCUACAUCGUCUUUUAUAAUUACUCUUCUUCCUCUCCAUCCAUCUAUGGCCGGCAAAAACUUAUACAAAAACUAGGGGCUUUAUGGCCCUGGAUCCGCCCCCGUGUGAGAAUGUGGCACUGCAAUUCUAUGUGUGACACAACAUGGGCCUAGAGGUCAACUAGAGCCAAGAGGAUAUAAUCUUGGGAUGAGAAUUCCAGUAUGGCGCAUGGCAUGUCACUACCGGAAUCCGGCUCUUUAUCGAGUGUCCACUCGGCAAAAAACUCAGUUCCGGUAGUGUGUAUAUAUGAUGGUAUCAUUUCACUAACCAUCAAAGCUGUGCUAGAAUCAAGCAAAUGAAGAAGAUUCAAAACAUUCUCCACACAUGUCGACCACCUAUUAUUAUAUAGGUAGGACAACAAUUUUACUACUUCCAAUAAAAUGGUCAAACAUGGAGUCAUACAAUUAAUUUGAAUCCAUGUAAAGGGCUCAAAUAAAACAAAUUCCACUCAACUAGUAACUUUCAGGUACUAUUCCAACAAGUGACAUACGUAUCUUGUUAACAUCAUUAUCACAACGAUACACUCUGUACUUGUCAUUUCUAGGCGGGAACAGCCAACAUAUAUCCACAUUAUUCUUAUUAUAGAAAAUUUCGUGAAACUCAUUUUUUUAAAUGUCACGGUAGAACUUCUGAUGAUAAAAUGUAGUACACAGUAAUGUGUGAAAUCAUCAGCCCUCCAGCCUGUUCGCUGUGGUUUGUUAACUAAAAACAACCUUUAUCUAUUUAUAUCUAUUCAAUAAACUACUACUCAACCUUAUCUUGAGAUGAUGACGGGAGAAACAUUAUCACGUCAUCAGCAUAAAAGGAUACAUGAUGGUUUACCUGUUGUGUUAUUAGAUUAUCAUGGGAUAUGUUGUGUUAUUAGACUUAUCAUGGGAUAUGUUUAUAGCUAUACCUAUUAUUGAUACUAUCUUCUACAAACUUGGUCAAACUUUAACAUAUGAUCCAAAAAUAGCUACAGUUGCAUUUUUCGGGACCAAGGCAGUAAAAUUCAUGCGGGUCACAAAAUGAAGACCGAAAUAAAUAAAAUAUAUGUUCAUAUAUAUCAUACAUCUCCACUUUAAAUGACUUUAUGUGUGUAAGCUGCUCCAAGGAAGUAAACAGAUAGAAGGCCAUACGCUGAACUAACACUAUAUGCAUGCUCAGUCGUUCUGCCAUGCAUAGGUUGUUACAUUCAAAUAAUUUUUAAAUUGUUGUAAUGUACUAAGUCUAUGGUCUGAUCACAGCUACAAGUAGUUUACUACAUCAACAAGUUCAGGUAAUUUAUGUGAAAGCAUAAAAUCCAAACGAACAAAUAUGCAAGUAUUUGCCAGGAUAAAUUCACUAACAUCAGCCUUACGUCAACAAUUGUCUAUUGAUCAUCAAAGUUCAAAAGACUUGAUUGCAAGAAUCCUAAAAUAAUGUAUAUACAAUUGAACAAAUCAUCAAUGAACCAUUACCAGUAAAAGAGAUAAGUUUAAUCAAGCAAGCACUAUUACUCAAAACUUGAAAUAAAACCGUCUCUUGUUUUAAUUUCUUGAUCACACAAGUUUUAAUUUCUUACAUGGUAAUUAUAUACUUCAUUCGUUCUAAAAUAGUAGUUAUUUUAGCUCUUAGUUUUAUGUCUAUAUUCAAAUAGAUGAACAUGAACUUAGACAUAUAUAAAACAAAUACAUCAAGUAUUGUAUAAACCCAUUAAUUAAUAAAACAAAUUUUAAUUUGGAACGGAGGAGUACUGGCUAAGGGCGCAUUCAUAUGCCACAUUAGUGUAGGAGGAACAUACCUGUAGGCUCUGGUUCAGUUUGCAUCCUUUAUCACGUGACAAACAAGUUAGGCCCUGUUUGGGAACAAAGUUUUUGAAAACCACAGUUUUUGAAAUACUAUACUAUACUUUAGUUAUGACAAUACCGUAGUUUAUAAUACCGCAGUUUUGAAAACUGAGGUCCAGAGCUAAGUUUAGAAUGCCUUAAAACAACUAUAGUAUUUGCAAUACUUCAGUUUUGAAAACAGAGAUUUUACCCAGCUUGCCAAACACCAUUAUGUAUAUAAUACUGCAGUAUUUGAGAAUACUGCAGUAUUCUUCCAAAACUGCAGAAAAACUUUGUUCCCAAACACCCCCUUAUUAGUGCAAUAAUGCCUUGGCUGGAGUUUUUACACCUCUACAUAACCACCUUGCGCUAGCUUCAUUACAUAUAUUUUAAAAAUAAAAGGACGCUUUGAUGUGCAGGUGCAUAGCUACAUAGAUAUAUUAUUAGAUAUAAGAUCAGAUUGAGCUAACAUACAUGAUGAAACAGAAGUGGGAAUGGAUUAAGAGAGUAUAUGUAUCACCCUGAGUAUAUAUGAUGAAACAGAUGUUGCGCUAGCUUCAUUACAUAUAUUUUUAAAAUAAAAAGGAAGCUUUGAUGUGCAAGUGUGGUUUACAUGCUAAUGGAAAGAGAGUAUAUGUAUUACCCUGAUUAUUCCUAUGCUGGAUUAAGACUUUAUAUACUUGAAAAUUUAUAUGCACUGCCAUUAACCAUUGUAGCGCCAUGUUGGAACUGGAAAACUAACAAAAAUUCUUUUGCCUGUAAGUGAGCAGUUUAAAAGCAACAUCAGACUUUACUAAUUGUAAAGAAAGCAUGCAAUAUUGCAACAUAGGAAAAAGUUGAAAGUUCAACGUUUGUCCAGUAAAAAAGAACUGGCAGCAACUAGCUUGGCCUUUCUUUUUUAUAGAAUACUUGUGUGUGAAAAAUCAACACUCCUGCUGGUGAAAAGUUCGUAGGUUGAAUUCAAAUUUAGAAACCCCCAACGCAAACUUUGGCUACAUAUACCAGAAAAUAUUUAUUUCUUAACCAACCUACAACUUUCACCAGGGACCAUGCUUGCGCGUACCUUGAAACCUUCAAUGCUAUUAUUUACAGCCGACUUGACUUUUUACUUGCCCAUAUAAUAAAGACAGAAAAAAAAUAAAGCUUACAUUGUCCCAGGUAAUCGAAGUAUAAAACAAUAUAAAUCCUGCAAAGCCCAAUAAUUCAACAAAACCUCCGGAACUAUAAUUUGUUUCACACUAUUCAGUGAAAUUAUGCCGUCUUUAUGAACAUCAAACGCCGAUAUAUAAACUUAAUUUGCGC
rnacentral:lncRNA from 7 species